UAAACAAGUCCAGUUCUUAAUAUAUGGAAUUAAACCUCGACAUGUCUAUUUCUGCAUCUUUCCUAUGAAUACUUCUUAUGUCCCCUGGAUUUUGAUUUCCAGAGGAAGCUUCCUAUGUAUACUUCAUAGGUCCUCUGCAACGUGAAUUACAGAGGAACCUCAAAAAGAAAAGAAAAAUCUAAAGCGCUAAAGGAAGAACUGAAAUGUUUUUUAUAUAAGACAAAAAAAAUUAAAACUGAGAUAUAUUGAUAGAAACAAGUAAGAUAUUUACACCAUUCAUUCGGGCACCAUUCCUAACCUAUGCAAGGUGGGAGAAAGAGAAAGAUACUAAGGAUUUGAAAAAAAGUGUACUUGAAUUUGAACCGUUGAAACCAAUUACGAUGCUGGGGGUUUCGUCAGCUGACUUGACGGGGUAACGUGGGACCUUCAAUUACAACAUUGAUUUUCUUGCCAACUCCAAUUUUGGAUAUACUAAAUCAGAUAAAUUUAAAGGGCCAUGUUUAGAAAGAAUGCAAAUAAUUUGGGGGAUUAUGAGAAAAAUAG